rnacentral:rRNA from 1 species
UACAGAGGGUGCAAGCGUUAAUCGGAAUUACUGGGCGUAAAGCGCACGCAGGCGGUCUGUCAAGUCGGAUGUGAAAUCCCCGGGCUCAACCUGGGAACUGCAUUCGAAACUGGCAGGCUAGAGCCUUGUAGAGGGGGUAGAAUUCCAGGUGUAGCGGUGAAAUGCGUAGAGAUCUGGAGGAAUACCGGUGGCGAAGGCGGCCCCCUGGACAAAGACUGACGCUCAGGUGCGAAAGCGUGGGGAGCAAACAGG